UACGUAGGGUGCGAGCGUUGCCCGGAUUUAUUGGGUUUAAAGGGAGCGUAGGCGGUCUUAUAAGUCAGUGGUGAAAUCCUAUCGCUUAACGAUAGACGUGCCAUUGAUACUGUAGGACUUGAGUACAGAUGCCGUUGGCGGAAUGUGUCAUGUAGCGGUGAAAUGCAUAGAUAUGACACAGAACACCGAUUGCGAAGGCAGCUGACGAAACUGUAACUGACGCUGAGGCUCGAAAGCGUGGGGAUCAAACAGG
rnacentral:rRNA from 1 species